rnacentral:rRNA from 1 species
UGAGUGCGAGCUGCUACGGCAGCGAAGUGGGUGACGUCAAGCUUCCAAGAAAAGCCCUAUACCCGUUAAGGCAUGAUUGCCUGUACCCGAAACCGACACAGGUGGGGUGGUAGAGAAUACCGAGGGGCGCGAGGUAACUCUCUCUAGGAACUCGGCAAAAUGGCCCCGUAACUUCGGGAGAAGGGGUGCCACCGCAAGGUGGUCGCAGUGAAGAGGCCCAGGCGACUGUUUACCAAAAACACAGGUCUCCGCUAAGUCGCAAGACGAUGUAUGGGGGCUGACGCCUGCCCAGUGCCGGAAGGUUAAGGAAGCUGGUCAGCGUAGCGAAGCUUUGAACUGAAGCCCCGGUGAACGGCGGCCGUAACUAUAACGGUCCUAAGGUAUCGAAAUUCCUUGUCGGGUAAGUUCCGACCCGCACGAACCGCGUAACAAUUAGAGCACUGUCUCGACGAGGGACCCGGUGAAAUUGAAAUGGCUGUGAAGAUGCGGCCUACCCGCAGCAGGACAAAAAGACCCCGUGGAGCUUUACUGCAUCUUGGCAUUGUAUUUGGACAUAAUCUGUGUAGGAUAGGUGGGAGGCUUUGAAGCUGGCGCGUCAGCGUCGGUGGAGCCAACGGUGAAAUACCACCCUGAUUAUGUUUAGAUCCUAACCCCAUUCCGUAAUCCGGAUGGGGGACCGUGCCAGGUGGGCAGUUUGACUGGGGCGGUCGCCUCCCAAAAGGUAACGGAGGCGCCCAAAGGUUCCCUCAGGUGGAAUGGAAACCCACCAUAGAGUGUAAAGGCAUAAGGGAGCUUGACUGUAAGGCCAACGCGCCGAACAGAGACGAAAGUCGGGCUUAGUGAUCCCACAGUACCGAGUGGAAGGGCUGUGGCUUACCGGAUAAAAGCUACCCCGGGGAUAACAGGCUGGUGAGAUCCAAGAGUUCACAUCGACGAUCUCGCUCGGCACCUCGAUGUCGGCUCAUCGCAUCCUGGGGCUGGACAAGGUCCCAAGGGUCGGGCUGUUCGCCCGUUAAAGCGGUACGCGAGCUGGGUUCAGACCGUCGUGAGACAGGUCGGUCUCUAUCCGCUGUGGGCGUAAGGGAUUUGAAGGGAGCUGCUCCUAGUACGAGAGGACCGGAGUGGACAGACCUCUAGUGUGCCAGUUGUUCCGCCAGGAGCAUCGCUGGGUAGCCAUGUCUGGCAGAGAUAACCGCUGAAAGCAUCUAAGUGGGAAACUCGCCCUAAGAUUAGAUCCCUGUGACCCGUAAGGGUGUGAGACCCCAGGUAGACUACCUGGUAUAUAGGCAGCGUGUGUAAGCGCAGUAAUGUGUUAAGCUAAGCUGUACUAAUGGUCGA